rnacentral:rRNA from 1 species
UCCUGGCUCAGAGCGAACGCUGGCGGCAGGCCUAAUACAUGCAAGUCGAGCGGGUCCUUCGGGAUUAGCGGCGGACGGGUGAGUAACGCGUGGGAACGUGCCCUUUGGUACGGAACAACUGAGGGAAACUUCAGCUAAUACCGUAUGUGCCCUUCGGGGGAAAGAUUUAUCGCCAUUGGAGCGGCCCGCGUUGGAUUAGGUAGUUGGUGAGGUAAAGGCUCACCAAGCCUACGAUCCAUAGCUGGUCUGAGAGGAUGACCAGCCACACUGGGACUGAGACACGGCCCAGACUCCUACGGGAGGCAGCAGUAGGGAAUCUUGCGCAAUGGGCGAAAGCCUGACGCAGCCAUGCCGCGUGAAUGAUGAAGGUCUUAGGAUUGUAAAAUUCUUUCACCGGGGACGAUAAUGACGGUACCCGGAGAAGAAGCCCCGGCUAACUUCGUG